rnacentral:rRNA from 1 species
UACGUAGGGUGCAAGCGUUAAUCGGAAUUACUGGGCGUAAAGCGUGCGCAGGCGGUUUUGUAAGUCUGUCGUGAAAUCCCCGGGCUCAACCUGGGAAUUGCGAUGGAGACUGCAAGGCUAGAAUCUGGCAGAGGGGGGUAGAAUUCCACGUGUAGCAGUGAAAUGCGUAGAGAUGUGGAGGAACACCGAUGGCGAAGGCAGCCCCCUGGGUCAGCACUGACGCUCAUGCACGAAAGCGUGGGGAGCAAACAGG